AUCUGAUUAAUUUGAAAUUCUUAUUUUUUGAACUCUUAUUUGAAGCUAUUUUUAUACAUUGAAACUGUUUUGUACUUAUAUUAAGUGUGUACAUUAAACACACGUUUUUUAUUCACGAAUCUGUCUCACGAUCGAUUUAAUAGCAGUAAGUGUGCUAUUUAAAUAUAAGCCAAGUUAUCAACUUUAUUUCAUUGGCUAAGCCAGCCAGGCUUUGAACGAUUUUCAAAUUUUAUACCACUUUCUCAAAGUGCUAUCGGAGAGAAGUAGAGUAUUGAGUAAUUUUUGAAACGUUUGACGAGAACCUAGAAGUCAACAAUCAGCCAGUCGCUCAUUUUGUCGCAGUUUUUUUACAACUGUCCCUUAUAUCGAAAGGGGGAACAUGUUAGUACUGAGAGAAACUACGGAAAGAGUUUGACGAGAGCCUAGAAGUAUUGAUGUAUCGUGAAUGACCUGGAAGAUUCGUAGAACACGGAAGACUUCUUAUUCGGAAUGAUUUUUACAAAAAUUGAUCAAAGAAGGAAAGAUGACUACAAAAGAGAUGAAAAAUCUUAAAGAAAGAUAGUUGAUCAUCAUCGUCAUCGUCACAGGAUUCAUUUUUUCACUAUUGACAUUUCUAUCAGUGGUAAAAUAUAUCACAAACUGUUCCAGCCAUUUAGAGGUUAACAGGAUUGAACAUUUUCUCAGCAAAGACAUUAUAGUGAUAAGAAACAAAAGAGAUGUGGACAAUGAUGUCACUUUAGAUAACGGCGAGCCAGAUAUUAAUACUAAUACGGAGGACAAAAGCGAUAAAAACCAUGAUAUUAAGAUAGAUAAAAAUUUGGACAAGUUCAGAUAUACUGAUGUUAAUACAGCUGACGAUUUGUUUGGGUAUAUAGCUGUGGGACAGGGAUAUGAGCAUUGUAUGGAAUUAUAUUUCAUUCAUAGUAAUGAGGUGGAAAUAGAAGUUAAAAUAGAGUCGAAAACCAAUUUUGUUAAAAUGCAAGGAUUUUAUAGGUCUAAUAACAUAACCAAGACUUUUGAAUGUAAUAUACUGAUUAGAGCUUUUUGGUCAUUAUUUAUAAAAGGUAAUGAUUCAACAAUCUGGUCAGGAGAUGUUAAUAAUGAUAUGUCAAGGUCUGGAAAAAUAUUUUAUCCAGUAGACCAGUAUUAUUACCUUUUUCAAUGUUUUGUAAAAAUAUUAGACCCAGAACAUCUAAAUAUAAUUGGAGAUGAAAAAGGAGACAUUGUAAGAAAAUGGGAUUUUAGAGUAAUAAGAAAAUCUACUCAGUUACGAGUCAAAAUUAGCAUUACUGUGGUAGAUAUUAUUGUUCCAGAGAUAAAAGUGUCACCACAGUCUUUAAAAGUCAUUGAAGAUGAAGAUGGAUUGAAUUUGAUGUGUAGUACUCAGAUAUAUUUACCUCAAAAUUCAUUGUUAACUUGGAAAAGGAAUGGUGAGUUUUUGGGUAGUUUUUUCCACAGUACAACUAAUAUAAUUCACAAAGGAAUUUUUGGUAAUGUGAAUUGGAUCAAUGAUAAAUUUAUUUAUCAUCAAUCAGGUGUAUCUUUAAAUGAUACUGGUAUAUAUGAGUGUUGCAUAUUAAUAGAAGGCUAUCCCUUGAAAUGUGCUAAUGCAAGUAUAGUUGUCAUGUCCCCAGGGAAAACUCCAUGUGUUGGUAAAAACAGUGUUUUUGCUAAUCCCUUCCAGAUUAACCAUUUACAAUCCAGAGCUCUAUUGAGAGAAGGAACAUUCGUCAUUAUAUUGUGGAACUUUAAUAUUUCAGAAUGGAAAAUUUCUACAAGGUUUCCACAAUGUCAAAGACAUUUGGUUAAUAUGGAAUUGGGUAUUGAAAGAUGGUUUGGAAUCAAUAGUCAUAACAGAAAUAGACGUGGUAUUGUCGAAGGAGCCCUAGGGGGCAUAGGUAUAAUUGGCAGCAUUGCAAAUAGUAUGGAUAUUAACACGUUAAAAUCUGAUCUUGAGUCAGCAGGUUUAGUGGGAAGUAAAGGUUUUAAGAUCCAAAGAAACUUAAAUCAGAUAUUAGAAGAUAUGGUUAUUAAAACAGCCAAUGUAAUGGGUCCAUCCAUACUACAUCUUCAGAAUAUUACUCUCAAUUUAAUGACUAGUGAAGAACAUUCACAUAUUGCCAGAUUAUGUUUAGAAAUUCAAACAGAAUAUUCCACUAAUUUUAAAAUAAUUGCACAAGCUUUUCAGAGUGGAAUUACCCCUCUUGGUAUAUUGCAGAAUUUACCCAGAGAAUAUGCAUAUGCAAGAAAUCAUACUGAUUUAUGGGUAAAUAAAUGGUUAGGAUGUAGUCAGGAUGUAUGUUAUAGUUCUUCUAUGAUUCCUAUAGCAGGGAGAGAACAAAUUUUGGUUCCAAUUACUGUUUUGGGAUUACCAAUUAGUGAUACUCAAUUAUUAUUUUAUAAAUUGCAGUAUACAGAUUUUGCGCUUAACAAGGAUAAUUUGGAAUUAGAACAAUUAGAUUUGUCAUCAUGUUUACAAUUUCAGUCUAAAGUUCUUUGUUUACCUAAUCAAGAUAAAAGUAUAUUUCAUUCUUGUUAUCAUAAUCAUACAUUAUGUUCUGCAAGAAUAGAAACAUUUGAAGCUUCUUCUGAAUUAACUACUCUUGUAGAUAAAAGGAAAGUUUGUUUUCAGAUCAUGAAAGAUACAGAAAGGGUUCAGACUUUCUUUUCCUCUUGCACAAACACAGAAAAAAUAAAAAGGGGAUUGUAUUGUGCAGAAGGUGAUUUAAGGGCCAUAAAUGUAAAUGGUAUAAGAACUAAUUUAUCUCAUUUAUCAUUGAGAAAUGUUAGUGUUAAUCCGACACUAUAUAAUUUGUCUCAAAUAGAUGAGUUUCCAUGGAGAGAAUGGGUUAACGUAAUUCAAAAGGAUCAAGGUUUAUUAAUGGCUCUAGCUAAAGAACUCAGGAAUGCAGAGAUAUCGUUUAAACAUGAGCAAGGGAAUUUGCAAGAGGUAGUUCACCAAUGGUCCACUUUAACAGGUUCCAGUUGGUGGCAUCAAUUUAAAAACAGUAUAUCUAUUUGGGGAAAAACUUCAAUUACUUCCGCAGCAGGAAAUAUUUUAUCACAUCCUAUAGUUAUUAUUUUUAUUAUUAUUAUGUUAUGCAUUAUAUAUCAAUUAUUUUUAAUGUUUAGAAUGAAAAAACUGUAUAAGCAAAUCAGAAAUGAAAUCAAGAAAGGUGACGAUAUGUUGCAAAAUAAGCUUAAAAGGAGAUUAGGUUUUGGAGUUGCAAAUUCGAUGACAGGUGACAAUGCAUUUGGAGUUAUUAGAUCAAAGUCAGAGUGUUUGUGACAUAAAUGGGUGUAUAAAUGAUUAGGAAAUAUGGUCAUUAUUCAUAUUUCAGAGGGGAAUGUUAUAUUCUAAAAUCCCUUCCGGAAGGAUUUUAUAAAGAAUAUAUAUAUUCUUGUUAAUAUGAAUGAAUGUGAGACUGUUUGAGCUAUUAAUUUUCUUGUGUAAAUUCGCUGGAUUCGAUAUUUGAAACUCCAAAAACGUAUAAGUUUGAAUAUGAAAUAUAUAUAUAUGUUCAUUUGAAAUGUUUAAUGUUUUAAGUAAAGAAUUGUAUUUGAUUGGAA